rnacentral:tRNA from 1 species
GCGCGGGUAGUCUAGCGGGAGGACGUGAGCUUCCCAGGCUGGCAACCCGGGUUCAAUUUCCAGCCGGCGCG